rnacentral:lncRNA from 1 species
AAUAUAUUGCACUAAUAAAUAGUGUAUCAAGAGUGUGCAAUUUUGCUUGAGAUUUGAAAAUCCAAACUUCGAGUCAGUACGGAAAAAUUCGGGCAAAAUCGGAUAGAAUCGGGCGGGAUCGGGUGAUAUCGGAUGACUUCGAUAGUUUUCGGGAUUUUAAUAUUAUUUCAAAUUACAAGCUGGAAUAUACUUUUUGUACAUUGUAAUUUAAUUUUCAACAAUUUGAGGUUAAUUCAUUCGAUUAAUUGAUCGAAAGUUGUGUAUUUUUUUUCGUUUAUUUUCUGUGUAUAAAAAAAUAUAGAUACUCGUUUGACGGAAAUAAUUUCAAGAAAUGAUGAAGAUGACAUUGCAUCUAAUAGUAAUCGAGGUUCCAUUGUGUAAUGACACUUGCUACGAAGCAAGAUAAGUAAGUUCCAAUUGCAUGACAAUGAAGAAUGCUUCAAGACACCGUUGAGCUUCUUGCCGGUACUUAAUACGCUCGAUCGAAGAACGAAUGAAAAUUCCAUGGAAGGGGAUGGGUCUGUCAUUGGCCGAUAGAAUAUUCGCCGAGGUAUUAUUCAAAUUAGAUGGAAUCGACUGUCGUCGACCGCGGGUUAGAACCGUUUGUAAUAGAGCUAGGCCGGAAUUCGAAAUGCCACCGAUAAAAGAUGGGUUUCACCCGCGUUCUGAGAAGAACAUUCCCCUUUGUCGUCGAUACUCGUUCAACGACACGCUCACGUCGACCGAAAAUUUUACGAUAUCUUCAAUCCACCUCUGAACA